rnacentral:rRNA from 1 species
GCUACCGGGCGACCGGAUGCGGAUCUCGAAAGCCUGUCCCAGUUCGGACUGGAGUCUGCAACCCGACUCCACGAAGUUGGAUUCGCUAGUAAUCGCGCAUCAGCCAUGGCGCGGUGAAUACGUUCCCGGGCCUUGUACACACCGCCCGUCAAGCCAUGGGAGCCGGGGGCGCCUGAAGUCGGUAGCCUAACCGUAAGGAGGGCGCUGUCUAAGGUGGGCGUGGUAAUUGGGGUGAAGUCGUAACAAGGUAAC